UAACACAUGCAAGUCGAGGGGCAGCAUGGUCUUAGCUUGCUAAGGCCGAUGGCGACCGGCGCACGGGUGAGUAACGCGUAUCCAACCUGCCUUACACUCUUGGACAGCCUUCUGAAAGGGAGAUUAAUACAAGAUGUUAUCAUGAGUAAGCAUUUUCUCAUGAUUAAAGGUUUACCGGUGUAAGAUGGGGAUGCGUUCCAUUAGAUAGUAGGCGGGGUAACGGCCCACCUAGUCUUCGAUGGAUAGGGGUUCUGAGAGGAAGGUCCCCCACAUUGGAACUGAGACACGGUCCAAACUCCUACGGGAGGCAGCAAUGAGGAAUAUUGGUCAAUGGACGAGAGUCUGAACCAGCCAAGUAGCGUGAAGGAUGAAGGUUCUAUGGAUUGUAAACUUCUUUUAUACGGGAAUAAACGAAUCCACGCGUGGAUUUUUGCAUGUACCGUAUGAAUAAGGAUCGGCUAACUCCGUGCCAGCAGCCGCGGGAAUACUCGAGGAUCCGAGCGUUAUCCGGAUUUAUUGUGUUUAAGGGGAGCGUACAUGGGUUGUUAAGUCAGUUGUGAAAGUUUGCGGCUCACCCGUAAAAUUGCAAUUGAUACUGGCAGUCUUGAGUACAGUUGAGGUAGGCGGAAUUCGUGGUGUAUCGGUGAAAUGCUUAAAUAUCACGAAGAACUCUCAUUGCUAAUGCACCUUACUAACCUGUAACUGACAUUGAUGC
rnacentral:rRNA from 1 species